UCUCCGAGUGCGGACCGGGGAAGUCUGCCGGCGCCUGCCGGGGCCGGAGAGCCCGCGCGCCUCCCGGGAGCAGGUUUCCGCCAGCCUGGACGGAACUCUUCCCGGAGGGAGGUCGGCUUUGCGCGCCACCGGAGGCUGGGAGGGGCUGAGGCUCAGCAUCUUCUAAAGACGGGAUUUCACCUUCGCGCCUUGGGCGCGGAGAGCCAGCUGAGUUUGCAGGAGUUCCCUCCCUGGCUGUUCCACUUUGGUUGUGAGGAAGAUUUCAUGAAGCAAGACAAGUAAAGCGCCAACAACGCAGUCCGUAGCCAGCUCUCCACCUAGCCGCUACCUCUUUAGCCAGGCGUGCUCGGGAAGAAAGGAAAAUCUUUCCAGACUUGCUGGGUUUUCACAUGGGCUGAGUGCUUGGUUGCUUUACAAACACCAAGCAGACACGGGGAAGGGCAGGCAAACAUUUGUCCCUUAAGAGCCAGCAAGAAAGUUCCUACUGCAGGGAAACUGGUUUCUCAGGUCCAGGAGAGAAAGUACCGCCUACUUUUUUACACUGGACGGCAGAGGAAAGCAGACUGGUUCUUUGAAACUCCACUGACACCAUCGCACACACGUCCUUGAAGAGGUGCAGCUAAGCUCAAAACGGGGACUCAGAGCGCAGGCGCAGGGCUCACUCUUCCUCGCCCGCCCGGCCGGCUCCCUCGCUCAUUACUCCAUCUCCGUCUCCGUGAGUCAGCCCCACAGGGCUGCUGCCCGGAAAGGCUAAUGAGGGAUCCCCAAGUGUCUCCGAAGUGCCCACAGACAGGCUCGGGCCUUCUGUUCGGUUCCGGGAAACCUUGCCGAGGACUGAAAGGAUAAUUAUACCCCAGCAGUCACACCAACUGACCACGGACGACAAAGGGCUGUGUCCGAGACUGGCAACUCAGACGUCUCCACGAUUACGCUGGGUGUUCAACUCAACGCUGCAGGUCGGACUCAGGAAACCAUGGCUGGAUGAAGCCAAAGGAAGAUUAGCAGCGGAGUGCCAGCCAGGUCCCUGCAGCUCGGCCACCCACAGACCCAGCCUCCUCUCUUCCCAGGGGCGAUGGUGGCAGUCCCCACCCAGCAGGGUUCUGCUGAGAUGAUGAAGCAGUGAAAGUCCCUGGCAUGUAGCAAAGGCUCUAAAAUGUUACCAUUCAUGUUAUUAAGAACUACAGGAAUCGGGCCGUCCCAGAAUUAAGGUCAUCCUUUCUAUGGCCCGAGUGCUGGGUUCUCUGACUAAUUAGAGAGAAACCUCUUUGAAAUUCCGGACAUGGUCUCUUACUUUUGUCUUUCUCAGACCAUGUGACACAGCGCUGUUUACCUUGGCCAGCACCCAAUAAAGCAAAUAAUAGCCAAUGGCUUAUUGAUUAUUUCCUCAUUCCCAAGUCAAGAGAGGAAGAUCGGUCUCAAUGCAUUCUCUGUUUUUUUUUGAGGAAGGAGUUGUCAUAGAUCCUGGAGUGUUUUACUCGUGUGUCAUAUUGGAAGCAACUCUACACCACAAAAAUAACAGUUUUGGUUUCAAUAACUUGAGCUGAAGCCAUGGUUUCACCACUCACAAGCUGUGUGGCUGUGGGCAAGUUAGUUAACCUCUCUGAGCCUAGUUUCCCUGUUUAUAAGAUUGGGAGUUACUAUACCUGUGUCAGAAAGGUGAAGAUAAAUACUUAAAAUAUCAGUUGAGACACACUUAACCAUCAUCUUUGCAAACAGCUGUUUGGCUUCCGUGCUUGCUUGAAGAUUUCUCAGUGGAAUUCAGUCAUGUCAGUAUUAAAAAGUUAAAGUUGUAUUCUGGAAAAAAUGUAUUUUAUUUACAUCCUCCAAAAUGCAGUGGCAUGCGAGGAGCUUUUUCAAAAGUUCAUUGUUGAGAGGUGCUCCGCCUCGAAGGAGACGGCAACUACAGCAUGCACACUCAGGUUCAUGAGUCAUGUUACCGUCACUGUGGGUUUCAGUUCACUGAGGAGCUACAGCGUGCUGGGCGUUUCACUGUCUCUCCCCACGUGGUGAUACUCUGAGGUCAGUGGUUUUCAUUUUGUAGGAAGAAACCCGUUUUCAUACAGAUUUUUACAUCAGAUCUGAGUGAGAGUCUACUCUGCUACCUAUUUCCUCUCUGACCAAGUCAGCUCACCCAGGAAUAAUAAUGGCCACUCCUGUAUAUUAUUAUAAUGUCUUAGUUAUGAAAAUCUUGGAACUUGGAUUCCAGCUUACGUCAGGAUGGCAGCCACCCCGAGGGUGGGAAGACCAUCUCCCUUGUUCUCUGCUCUUAUUCUUGUAUCUAUAACUAUACCUGGAUCAGCUGAGGUGCUGAAUAAGUGUUUGUCAAGUAAUAUAUUGCAAAAUGAUGGAAAUUAAAUGCCUUACUUAUCCUAGAUGUACCAGUUCAGUUUGAUCGAUUCUAUGGUUCUA